GACCCAAACUGGAACCAUAUGCAAACUCUCCAGCUGGUAUCUUGUGAUGCCCAAUAUGUAUUUUGGCAGCUCUUCUGGGCCAGAGGAUACCCAGACUGAAGCACAGAUAGCAGAAAUCAAGAAUGGACCACAGCUGCCCAUGGCAGGUGCUCCUCUCUCUCCAGCUCACUGGGCUGAGCAUUUCAAGUGAAGGAGCCAUGGUGAGACUGAAGAUCAUCUCUUCCUCAAGUUAUGUCUCCUCACUGUCAUCAUAAAUUAGGGUGGGACCAAACUGAUCUGUCUCUGAACCACUGGUGUCUGGGCCAGGAACUCCUGGAAGGAGUGAUCAGCAAGAGCGAAGAUUCUGCUGUGUGGAGCACCCGGCUGUCUGUGUGCUCGCAGCACCAUCUAGUGCGUCGCAGAGAUUGCUUUUCGUCCUUCCCCAAAUCCGCAGUGAUGUACCCAGGACCCAUCCUGUCCUCCCGGGCACGCCGAUAGCCCCAGGCUGGUGGGGGGCUUGCACUGAAGUCAAACCCUGCACAGCACACAUGUGAGAGCCUGGAGAAGGACAGCACAGGAUAAAAGGUGUGUCAGCAUCUCAGUGCUGAGAUGCUGAUGUGCAGCUCUGAGUGACACCUGCAAGCUGCCUGAAGCCCACCCAGGCUGCACAUGCUGCCUCAGUUGAACCCUAAUUUCAGAAUCUCUAUAAAAUUAAUGACAA